ACGAAUAUCGUGCAAGGUUGUUAGCUGGCCUCUCGGGGCAUGUGCUCGCCUUGUUCACAUAUCCAUCUCACACCUGUGCACACUCGCGUGGGUCGGUCGGGGUUCUCUUUCGAGAGAUCCCUUCCGAGCCGCGUCUUCUCACAAACCCUUUGUAUGUCUUCAGAAUGGUAUCAAUGCUAUAAAAACGCAUCUAAUA
rnacentral:misc_RNA from 1 species